AUUUAUAUAGUUUAAAAAAAACAUUACAUUUUCAAUGUAAAAUUAAAAUUUGAUAUUUUUUUAAAUA
rnacentral:tRNA from 1 species